rnacentral:tRNA from 1 species
GCUCUUUUAACUCGGGGGGUAGAGUACCGCCAUGAUAAGGCGUAAGUCAUCGGUUCAAGCCCGAUAAAGGGCU